rnacentral:rRNA from 1 species
UAGUAAAUUGUUAAAAGUAAAUUCUGCCCUAUGAUUAAUUAAAUGGCUGCAGUAUUCUGACUGUGCAAAGGUAGCAUAAUAAUUAGUCUUUUAAUUGAAGGCUGGUAUGAAUGAAUAUAUGAGGUAUAAGUUUUAUUUUUAUUAUUUUUAUAAAUUGAUUUUUAAGUAAAAAAGCUUAAUUUAUUAUUUGGGACGAUAAGACCCUAUAGAACUUUAGUUUGAUUUAUUUUUAUAGAAUUUAUAGUUUUUAUAUUUUAAAUUUAUUAUAAUUCUUUUAUUGGGGUAAUAGAUAAAUUUUACUUUAUUUUUAUAUUUCAUUUAUUAAUGUAAUUUUUGAUCCAAAUUUUGAUUAAAAGAUUAAGUUACCUUAGGGAUAACAGCGUAAUUUUAAUGGGGAGUUCAUAUUUAUAUUAAAGUUUGCGACCUCGAUGUUGAAUUAAGAUAAGACUGAGGGGUAG